rnacentral:tRNA from 1 species
GGCAUGGUGGCUCAGUGGUUAGAGCGCCCGCCUCAUGAACGGGAGGUCGUGGGUUCGAAGCCCGGCCAAGUCA